rnacentral:piRNA from 1 species
UGAGAUGACCUCCAUCCUUACCCAUCAC